UCAGUACAUCACAAGUACUCUCAUUUUCAUAAAAUAUUUCAAUAAUUCCAUUCCGAAACGUAAAGAAGACGAAUGAAGAAAUAAACUACCUAUAUAGCUAUUUCUUCGGUGACGGUGCACGUUUGAACUUUAAUAUGGCACAGCUUUAUUUCGUCGAAAAGCGUCGAAGGAUACUUACAAUCACGAUUGAAGAUCGAUAUGAAGAAAAUUUGCAGUUUCUUCGGCGGCGGUGCACUACUCCGUAUAGUCUGAAGAUUGACACAACUCGGUUUCACGGGAACAGUCGACGCUUAAAUCUUGCCAUAAUAUCGGAAAAACAAAAAAAGUGAAAUAAUUACGCUAUAACCCGGAGGACGAUUGGCAGUAUCAUUAAGAAGCUCAUCUGAAUAACACAAAUAAGUGUCGCAAGGCUGUGUUUGUUUAAUAAUAUAAUUUUUUGAACAGUAGUACAGUAUAUUAUGAA